GUACGGAGCCGAAGGGAAACCGAGUCUUAAUAGGGCGAAGAGUUGCAUGCUGUAGACCCGAAACCGAGUGACCUAUCCAUGGACAGGGUGAAGCGGAAGUAAAAUUCCUUGGAGGCCCGAACCACAUUGGUGUUGAAAAACCAUGGGAUGAGCUGUGGAUAGCGGAGAAAUUCCAAUCGAACUCGGAGAUAGCUGGUUCUCCUCGAAAUAGCUUUAGGGCUAGCGUCUGGUAAUUGAGUUAUGGAGGUAGAGCACUGAAUAGGCUAGGGGCGUUACAACGUUACUGAACCUUAUCAAACUCCGAAUGCCAUAUACUUUUAUCCAGGCAGUCAGACUGCGAGUGAUAAGAUCCGUAGUCAAAAGGGAAACAGCCCAGAUCAUCAGCUAAGGUCCCAAAGUAUAGGUUAAGUGGAAAAGGAUGUGGGAUUUCAUAGACAACUAGGAUGUUGGCUUAGAAGCAGCCACUCAUUCAAAGAGUGCGUAAUAGCUCACUAGUCGAGAGAUCCUGCGCCGAAGAUGUCCGGGGCUAAAACCUAUCACCGAAGCUAUGGACUUAGUCGAAUGACUAAGUGGUAGAGGAGCAUCCUGUAUUGGUAGAAGUCAUACCGUAAGGAGUGGUGGACGAUACAGGAGAGAGAAUGUUGGCAUAAGUAGCGAGAAAUAAGUGAGAAUCUUAUUGGUCGAAAACCUAAGGUUUCCUGAGGAAGGCUCGUCCGCUCAGGGUUAGUCGGGACCUAAGCCGAGGCCGAAAGGCGUAGGCGAUGGACAAUUGGUUGAUAUUCCAAUACCACUAAUGGACGUUAUUAGAGAUGGGGUGACGCAGGAGGAUAGGAUGAGCGUACUGUUGGAAUAGUACGUCUAAGCAUCAAGUCAGACUCUUUAGGCAAAUCCGGAGAGUUAAUGGUGAGGUGUAAAAGAUAACCCUUUAAUGGGUGAAGCAUCCGAUUUCACGCUGCCAAGAAAAGCCUCUAUCGAGGAAAUUAGUGCCCGUACCGCAAACCGACACAGGUAGGUGAGGAGAGAAUCCUAAGACCAGCGGAAGAACUGCUGUUAAGGAACUCGGCAAAUUAACCCCGUAACUUCGGGAGAAGGGGUGCCUGAGCAAUCAGGUCGCAGUGAAAUGGCCCAAGCAACUGUUUAACAAAAACACAGGUCUCUGCUAAAGCGUAAGCUGAUGUAUAGGGGCUGACGCCUGCCCGGUGCUGGAAGGUUAAGGGGAUCACUUAGCGCAAGCGAAGGUGUGAACUUAAGCCCCAGUAAACGGCGGCCGUAACUAUAACGGUCCUAAGGUAGCGAAAUUCCUUGUCGGGUAAGUUCCGACCCGC
rnacentral:rRNA from 1 species